rnacentral:rRNA from 1 species
GCGCUGGAGAACUGAGGGGGGCUGCUCCUAGUACGAGAGGACCGGAGUGGACGCAUCACUGGUGUUCGGGUUGUCAUGCCAAUGGCACUGCCCGGUAGCUAAAUGCGGAAGAGAUAAGUGCUGAAAGCAUCUAAGCACGAAACUUGCCCCGAGAUGAGUUCUCCCUGACCCUUUAAGGGUCCUGAAGGAACGUUGAAGACGACGACGUUGAUAGGCCGGGUGUGUAAGCGCAGCGAUGCGUUGAGCUAACCGGUACUAAUGAACCGUGAGGCUUAACCUUACAACGCCGAAGGUGUUU